GCCGACAAAAAAUCGGCCGACGAGUGUAUAAGUGAAUUGUAUUAGAGUUAUUCCUCUUUGAAUAAAUCAAUAAUCAGGGUGAUGCGUGACGUAACUCGACAGUCCUUUUGACAGACCUAAUCAGAAUAUGAAUCCACAACUGCACGGGGUUUUUUUUCUUAGAGGAGCAUUGAUAUUGAUAUUAAUUGAGCAGUUAUUUAAUGACUAGUGUGUGAAGAGAGAUUCCAAGUGUUUUUUGUUGGUGGAUAUAUGGACAUGGCUAGACUUUCGUUUUCCACGCGUGCAAGGACUCGAGUCUCAUGGACAUUGAAGGCACUUAUUUCACCUGAGACACGGACAGUAGACGUUGACAGAGUGAAUGUGGAGGUAGGCCUAGAAGUAAUAGACCGUGUGGGCUGGGUUUCUGUGAACUGGCAUAGGGCCUAAUGUACAGGAUGGCAUAGGUAUUUGAGGAAUUUGUGACUAUUGUUGAGUGUGCGGUAAUUGUUCAAGGAACGUGUAUUUUUGUGUCCGGUCACAUACACCUGGAUAUUAUCAGGGACAUUACAAUCUGUCAUUUUUGUACAAGAGCGUUGCAGACGCUAGUGUUCGUCAAUCGAGGCGAGAUAUGAGAGAAAAGUUGAUCCAUGUCGGCAUGUAUUCAAAAUUUUAUUUGAUGAAAAUUCAACUACUUCUCCCCGGAACUAUUACGUGAAAGGUGAAGAUAAGGAACAGUGAUUAAUCUCCUAACUCCUAUAAGCAAUACAAAGUAGAGAGAGUUCGGCAAACACGGACCUCUGGAUAUACCAGCAGUGGGAUCAGGUGCCUAGGAGGAGUAAACAUCCCCUAUUGACCGGUCACACCUGCCUUGAACCCUAUAUCUUAAACAGGCAACUUACUGGAAGUUGGAUUGUCACAACCGUCGGACUUCGUAAUUGAAACAUGAAGUUUAUAGCGAUCCAAAGUAGAUUGACUAGAGCCAUUCCGCCACACACAUUAUUCCUUAAAUCUCG